rnacentral:rRNA from 1 species
UGCAUAGGAAUCUACCUAGUAGUAUAGGAUAGCCACUAGAAAUGGUGGGUAAUACUGUAUAAUCCCUGCGGGGGAAAGAUUUAUCGCUACUAGAUGAGCCUAUGUCAGAUUAGCUAGUUGGUGGGGUAAUGGCCCACCAAGGCUGUGAUCUGUAGCUGGUCUGAGAGGAUGAUCAGCCACACUGGAACUGAGACACGGUCCAGACUCCUACGGGAGGCAGCAGUGGGGAAUAUUGGACAAUGGGCGCAAGCCUGAUCCAGCUAUGCCGCGUGAGUGAGGAAGGCCUUAGGGUUGUAAAACUCUUUCAGUAGGGAAGAUAAUGACGGUACCUACAGAAGAAGUCCCGGCAAACUCCGUGCCAGCAGCCGCGGUAAUACGGAGGGGGCAAGCGUUGUUCGGAAUUAUUGGGCGUAAAGGGCAUGUAGGCGGUUUGGU